UCGUGGUUUGAAGGGAAGUGAGUUUUUUUGGAAGUAGUGGUCAAACCAAUUAGUCUUUAGAUCUGAAUAUUGGCACCUUUGUUGGCCACUAAGAGGUGGACACGCCUCUGAGGACACGAGGGGUUAAAAGCCGGAUUUCCCAGCAGGACUCUCUCUUUCCUGCUCUGCUUUCGGAGAGGGAGCGUCUCCUCCUCUCCCCUGCCGGCCUGGCUAGGCCGGGUGGGGGAGGGGAGCAAGGUGGGCCUGGCUUAGCAAGAGAGAAGGUGCCGAGCUGGAGCUGCUUGUGAGACCUGCAGUGUCUGCGAUCGCCUGUGCCUGACCUUGGUGGUGGGAGAUAAAGCUUUUAACUCUUUCUAAGGCAGAAGAGAGUUAUCCCUGGACGCUGUAUUCUCAUAGUUGGUGGUUUUAGAAGAGAGAGGACAGCCUGGGACCGAGAGGGUAAUGUGAGAUGAAAAGAAGCCCCUUCGAUGGCCGGAAUGAAGAGGAGUGGCUUAUGAGGCUGGACUUUUCUUGCAUAAUGAUAGCCAUAGACGGACCCUGGACCCUCCUGACUAUAAAUAAGACUGUGUUUGGGUGGAUGUUUUUGGCUCAAACCCAGAGACGUUCUGGCCUGCUUCUUGGAGCCCCCGGCCCCAGGGGUAAAUGGGGGGGACCUGAGUCCCAAAAUGAGAAGAUGGCUGGUUUUUGGUACUUGGCCAAAACAUCCUUAAAAAGAGCCCUGUUGCAGUGCAGGUCCAUGGACGGCAGUGAGAGUGCCGGACAUGGAAAGGAGGGUGUCACCCUGGCAGACCCUUCCAGGCAGUGCCAUGGGUGACGUGGGAACACGGGAUGGUGGACCUGUGUUUCCUGUGGGGGGGGCGGUCUGUGGUGCGAGAGAGACUCCUCUCGUCCUGGAUGGAAUGUGGAUUGUCUGAAUUUUAAAGGAUGAUGGUUUGGAUUAGGAACCCAGGGUUGUUGGGGGAUUAAGCAAGUAGAUGAAGGUAAUGUGCUGGAGACAACUGAGUGAGCAUGUAUGGAAUGGAAAUUGGGGGGAGGAGAAGCAGUGUUUUGGGAGGUUUUCUCUUCUGCUUUUGGGUGGCUGGGUUUUUCUUUCCUUUUCUAUUGUCCAUUGUUAUGUAAUAUAAUAAAUUGUCUGUCUGUUUCAAGAA